rnacentral:SRP_RNA from 1 species
GCCGGGCGUGGUGGCAUACGCCUGUAAUCCCAGCUACUCCAGAGGCUGAGGCAGGAGAAUCGCUUGAACCCGGGAGGCGGAGUUUGCAGUGAGCAGAGAUCGCGCCACUGCACUCCAGCCUGGGUAACAGAGCGAGACUCUGUCUCAA